UACGGAGGGGGCAAGCGUUGUUCGGAAUUACUGGGCGUAAAGGGCGCGCAGGCGGCUGCUCAAGUCAGGCGUGAAAGGCCUGGGCUCAACCCGGGAAUUGCGCUUGAGACUGGGCUGGCUUGAGUGCGGGAGAGGAUGGUGGAAUUCCGAGUGUAGAGGUGAAAUUCGUAGAUAUUCGGAGGAACACCAGUGGCGAAGGCGGCUCACUGGUCCGGUACUGACGCUGAGGUGCGAAAGCGUGGGGAGCAAACAGGG
rnacentral:rRNA from 1 species